rnacentral:rRNA from 1 species
UAGUCCACGCCGUAAACGAUGAUUACUCGGUAUUGGCUUCGGUCAGUGCCCAAGCGAAAGUGAUAAGUAAUCCACCUGGGGAGUACGCCCGCAAGGGUGAAACUCAAAGGAAUUGACGGGGGCCCGCACAAGCGGUGGAGCAUGUGGUUUAAUUCGAUGAUACGCGAGGAACCUUACCAGGGUUUAAAUGCAGAACGACAGGGGUGGAGACACCCCCUUCUUCGGACGGACUGCAAGGUGCUGCAUGGUUGUCGUCAGCUCGCGUCGUGAGAUGUUGGGUUAAGUCCCGCAACGAGCGCAACCCUCAUUUUUAGUUGCCAAUUUAUUGGGAUUUCUAGAGAGACUGCCGGUGACAAACCGGAGGAAGGUGAGGAUGACGUCAAGUCAGCAUGCCCUUAUGCCCUGGGCCACACACGUGCUACAAUGGCGAAGACAAAGAGUCGCAAACCUGCGAAGGCUAGCUAAUCUCGUAAACUUCGUCUAAGUUCGGAUUGCAGGCUGCAACUCGCCUGC